UACAGAGACUGCAAGCGUUAUUCGGAUUCACUGGGCGUAAAGGGUGCGCAGGCGGCCGUGUGUGUGAGGCGUGAAAGCCCGGGGCUUAACCCCGGAAUUGCACCUCAAACUACAUGGCUAGAGCAUUGGAGAGGGUAGCAGAAUUCACGGUGUAGCAGUGAAAUGCGUAGAUAUCGGGAGGAACACCAGUGGCGAAGGCGACUACCUGGCCUGUUCUUGACGCUGAGGCGCGAAAGCUAGGGGAGCAAACGGG
rnacentral:rRNA from 1 species